rnacentral:tmRNA from 1 species
CGUGGGUUGCAAAACCGGAAGUGCAUGCCGAGAAGGAGAUCUCUCGUAAAUAAGACUCAAUUAAAUAUAAAUGCAAACGAUGAAAACUUUGCUGGUGGGGAAGCUAUCGCUGCCUAAUAAGCACUUUAGUUAAACCAUCACUGUGUACUGGCCAAUAAACCCAGUAUCCCGUUCGACCGAGCCCGCUUAUCGGUAUCGAAUCAACGGUCAUAAGAGAUAAGCUAGCGUCCUAAUCUAUCCCGGGUUAUGGCGCGAAACUCAGGGAAUCGCUGUGUAUCAUCCUGCCCGUCGGAGGAGCCACAGUUAAAUUCAAAAGACAAGGC